AGGGAAUCUUCGGCAAUGGGGGCAACCCUGACCGAGCAACGCCGCGUGAGUGUAGAAGGUUUUCGGAUCGUAAAGCUCUGUUGUAAGAGAAGAACGAGUGUGAGAGUGGAAAGUUCACACUGUGACGGUAACUUACCAGAAAGGGACGGCUAACUACGUGCCAGCAGCCGCGGUAAUACGUAGGUCCCGAGCGUUAUCCGGAUUUAUUGGGCGUAAAGCGAGCGCAGGCGGUUAGAUAAGUCUGAAGUUAAAGGCUGUGGCUUAACCAUAGUACGCUUUGGAAACUGUUUAACUUGAGUGCAGAAGGGGAGAGUGGAAUUCCAUGUGUAGCGGUGAAAUGCGUAGAUAUAUGGAGGAACACCGGUGGCGAAAGCGGCUCUCUGGUCUGUAACUGACGCUGAGGCUCGAAAGCGUGGGGAGCAAACAGGAUUAGAUACCCUGGUAGUCCACGCCGUAAACGAUGAGUGCUAGGUGUUGGGUCCUUUCCGGGACUCAGUGCCGCAGCUAACGCAUUAAGCACUCCGCCUGGGGAGUACGACCGCAAGGUUG
rnacentral:rRNA from 1 species